rnacentral:rRNA from 1 species
AUGGGAACGCGAAGAACCUUACCUACUCUUGACAUCCAGAGAACUUUCCAGAGAUGGAUUGGUGCCUUCGGGAACUCUGAGACAGGUGCUGCAUGGCUGUCGUCAGCUCGUGUUGUGAAAUGUUGGGUUAAGUCCCGCAACGAGCGCAACCCUUAUCCUUUGUUGCCAGCGGUCCGGCCGGGAACUCAAAGGAGACUGCCAGUGAUAAACUGGAGGAAGGUGGGGAUGACGUCAAGUCAUCAUGGCCCUUACGAGUAGGGCUACACACGUGCUACAAUGGCGCAUGCAAAGAGAAGCGACCUCGCGAGAGCAAGCGGACCUCAUAAAGUGCGUCGUAGUCCGGAUUGGAGUCUGCAACUCGACUCCAUGAAGUCGGAAUCGCUAGUAAUCGUAGAUCAGAAUGCUACGGUGAAUACGUUCCCGGGUCUUGUACACACCGAGUCGUGGGGAGGGCAAGGGGCACGACAGGGGGGGAUA